GUGCUCGCUUUGGCAGUGCAUUUACUAAAAUUGGAACGACACUGAGAAGAUUAGCAUGGCCCCUGCACAAGAAUGACACACAAAUUUGUGAAGCGUUACGUAUUUUU
rnacentral:snRNA from 1 species